rnacentral:rRNA from 1 species
UGUAUGGUUAAGUGACUAAGCGUACACGGUGGAUGCCUGGGCAGUCAGAGGCGAUGAAGGACGUACUAACUUGCGAUAAGCGCAGAUAAGGCAGUAAGAGCCGUUUGAGUCUGCGAUUUCCGAAUGGGGAAACCCAACUGCAUAAGCAGUUACUGUUAACUGAAUACAUAGGUUAACAGAGCAAACCGGGGGAACUGAAACAUCUAAGUACCCCGAGGAGAAGAAAUCAACCGAGAUUCCGGUAGUAGCGGCGAGCGAACCUGGAUUAGCCCUUAAGCACUCGGUGAAGUAGGUGAACAAGCUGGAAAGCUUGGCGAUACAGGGUGAUAGCCCCGUAACCGACGCUUCAUCGAGCGUGAAAUCGAGUAGGACGGGACACGUGAUAUCCUGUCUGAAUAUGGGGGGACCAUCCUCCAAGGCUAAAUACUCCUGACUGACCGAUAGUGAACCAGUACCGUGAGGGAAAGGCGAAAAGAACCCCUGUGAGGGGAGUGAAAUAGAACCUGAAACCGUGUACGUACAAGCAGUAGGAGCACCUUCGUGGUGUGACUGCGUACCUUUUGUAUAAUGGGUCAGCGACUUAUAUUCAGUGGCAAGGUUAACCGUAUAGGGGAGCCGUAGCGAAAGCGAGUCUUAACUGGGCGCUCAGUCUCUGGAUAUAGACCCGAAACCGGGUGAUCUAGCCAUGGGCAGGUUGAAGGUUGAGUAACAUCAACUGGAGGACCGAACCGACUAAUGUUGAAAAAUUAGCGGAUGACUUGUGGCUAGGGGUGAAAGGCCAAUCAAACUCGGAGAUAGCUGGUUCUCCCCGAAAGCUAUUUAGGUAGCGCCUCGGACGAAUACUACUGGGGGUAGAGCACUGUUAAGGCUAGGGGGUCAUCCCGACUUACCAACCCUUUGCAAACUCCGAAUACCAGUAAGUACUAUCCGGGAGACACACGGCGGGUGCUAACGUCCGUCGUGGAGAGGGAAACAACCCAGACCGCCAGCUAAGGUCCCAAAGUAUUGCUAAGUGGGAAACGAUGUGGGAAGGCUCAGACAGCUAGGAUGUUGGCUUAGAAGCAGCCAUCAUUUAAAGAAAGCGUAAUAGCUCACUAGUCGAGUCGGCCUGCGCGGAAGAUGUAACGGGGCUAAGCAAUACACCGAAGCUGCGGCAAUGUCUUUUAGACAUUGGGUAGGGGAGCGUUCUGUAAGCCGUUGAAGGUGAAUCGUAAGGUUUGCUGGAGGUAUCAGAAGUGCGAAUGCUGACAUGAGUAACGACAAAGGGGGUGAAAAACCUCCUCGCCGGAAGACCAAGGGUUCCUGUCCAACGUUAAUCGGGGCAGGGUGAGUCGACCCCUAAGGUGAGGCCGAAAGGCGUAAUCGAUGGGAAACGGGUUAAUAUUCCCGUACUUCUGACUAUUGCGAUGGGGGGACGGAGAAGGCUAGGUGGGCCAGGCGACGGUUGUCCUGGUUCAAGUGCGUAGGCUUGAGAGUUAGGUAAAUCCGGCUCUCUCUAAGGCUGAGACACGACGUCGAGCUACUACGGUAGUGAAGUCAUUGAUGCCAUGCUUCCAGGAAAAGCCUCUAAGCUUCAGAUAGUCAGGAAUCGUACCCCAAACCGACACAGGUGGUCGGGUAGAGAAUACCAAGGCGCUUGAGAGAACUCGGGUGAAGGAACUAGGCAAAAUGGUACCGUAACUUCGGGAGAAGGUACGCUCUUGAUGGUGAAGUCCCUCGCGGAUGGAGCUGACGAGAGUCGCAGAUACCAGGUGGCUGCAACUGUUUAUUAAAAACACAGCACUGUGCAAAAUCGCAAGAUGACGUAUACGGUGUGACGCCUGCCCGGUGCCGGAAGGUUAAUUGAUGGGGUUAGCGCAAGCGAAGCUCUUGAUCGAAGCCCCGGUAAACGGCGGCCGUAACUAUAACGGUCCUAAGGUAGCGAAAUUCCUUGUCGGGUAAGUUCCGACCUGCACGAAUGGCGUAAUGAUGGCCACGCUGUCUCCACCCGAGACUCAGUGAAAUUGAAAUCGCUGUGAAGAUGCAGUGUACCCGCGGCUAGACGGAAAGACCCCGUGAACCUUUACUACAGCUUGGCACUGAACAUUGAACCUACAUGUGUAGGAUAGGUGGGAGGCUAUGAAGACGUGACGCCAGUUGCGUUGGAGCCGUCCUUGAAAUACCACCCUUGUAUGU